UACAGAGGUUCCAAGCGUUGUUCGGAUUCACUGGGCGUAAAGGGUGCGCAGGUGGGCUGGUAAGUUCGAUGUGAAAGCCCCGGGCUUAACCCGGGAAAGGGAUUGGAUACUACUGGUCUGGAGGAUUGGAGGGGGGACUGGAAUUCUUGGUGUAGCAGUGAAAUGCGUAGAUAUCAAGAGGAACACCAGUGGCGAAGGCGAGUCCCUGGACAAUACCUGACACUGAGGCACGAAAGCCAAGGGAGCAAACAGG
rnacentral:rRNA from 1 species